UACGUAGGGUGCAAGCGUUAAUCGGAAUUACUGGGCGUAAAGCGUGCGCAGGCGGUUUUGUAAGUCUGUCGUGAAAUCCCCGGGCUCAACCUGGGAAUUGCGAUGGAGACUGCAAGGCUAGAAUCUGGCAGAGGGGGGUAGAAUUCCACGUGUGAGCAGUGAAAUGCGUAGAGAUGUGGAGGAACACCGAUGGCGUAGGCAGAUAACUGGCUCAUUCCUGACACUAAGGCACGAAAGCGUGGGGAGCAAACGGG
rnacentral:rRNA from 1 species